UACGUAGGGACCAAGCGUUGUUCGGAUUUACUGGGCGUAAAGGGCGCGUAGGCGGCCUCAUAAGUCCGUUGUGAAAGUCAAAGGCUCAACCUUUGAAAGCCGAUGGAUACUGUGAGGCUAGAGUCCGGAAGAGGCGAGUGGAAUUCCUGGUGUAGCGGUGGAAUGCGCAGAUAUCAGGAGGAACACCAAUAGCGAAGGCAGCUCGCUGGGACGGUACAGACGCUAAGGCGCGAAAGCGUGGGGAGCGAACAGG
rnacentral:rRNA from 1 species